ACUCCGUGGAAAUCUCCUUGCUGAACAGCUGCCAAGUUCUACAAAACACAGGGAGGGAGCGAGCCCUACUUGUGGGGGCAUGGACCAUAAACCUUUGGUGACGAGCAUUGUCAGCUGUGCCUUGGCAUAGACGCGGACACCGGGAUUGCUCUGGAGUCUGGGGCGGGGGCUCAGGGCACUCAGAGGCGGGAGAAGGGGGCCAUCACAGGAUAUAGGCCCCUGCCUGGGUCAGAGGUGCCCAGUCAAGGCCAAUCUUUCCCAGGUAUUUAUUCUCUAUUUAUUGGGGACAGAAGAGAAGUCUGUCUGGGUGAGGCAGAACCUUCUCUUCUCCCUUCCUUCCUUGCCUGUCCUGGAAGGUCCAGCCUAUUCUACCUCCUUAGCUUUGCCUGUGCUGCCCCAACGCACGGGCGGGGCUGGGUGCAGGCAUGGUUUUAAAGAACCCCCAGUCCUGAGGAUAGAUGGGCCAUGGUGGAGGCCCAGGGCCUGUCUGACAUCCCCAAGGCUCACGUCUGCCCACUGCCACAGGUGAUGGGUGUAAAUAGCUCUGGUGGCAGUGGCGUAGAUGGUUGGGGGGCUCCUGCAGCCUCUGCUGCCCAGGCCGCAGUCUCUCUUGGGUUCCAUCUUGCUAAUAAACGCUGGCUCUGGGACUAGACU
rnacentral:lncRNA from 1 species